rnacentral:rRNA from 1 species
UACGUAGGGGGCGAGCGUUGUCCGGAUUUACUGGGUGUAAAGGGUGCUCAGGCGGGUCUGUAAGUCAGGGGUGAAAUCCCAGAGCUUAACUCUGGAACUGCCCUUGAUACUGCAGAUCUCGAGUUUGGGAGAGGCGAGUGGAAUAUCUGGUGUAGCAGUGAAAUGCGUAGAUAUCAGAUAGAACACCAAUGGCGAAGGCAGCUCGCUGGCCCAAUACUGACGCUAAAGCACGAAAGCGUGGGGAGCAAACAGG